GACGAACGCUGGCUGCGUGCUUAACACAUGCAAGUCGAACGGAAAGGCCCUGCUUUUGUGGGGUGCUCGAGUGGCGAACGGGUGAGUAACACGUGAGUAACCUGCCCUUGACUUUGGGAUAACUUCAGGAAACUGGGGCUAAUACCGGAUAGGAGCUCCUGCUGCAUGGUGGGGGUUGGAAAGUUUCGGCGGUUGGGGAUGGACUCGCGGCUUAUCAGCUUGUUGGUGGGGUAGUGGCUUACCAAGGCUUUGACGGGUAGCCGGCCUGAGAGGGUGACCGGCCACAUUGGGACUGAGAUACGGCCCAGACUCCUACGGGAGGCAGCAGUGGGGAAUAUUGCACAAUGGGCGGAAGCCUGAUGCAGCAACGCCGCGUGCGGGAUGACGGCCUUCGGGUUGUAAACCGCUUUCGCCCGUGACGAAGCGUGAGUGACGGUAAUGGGUAAAGAAGCACCGGCUAACUACGUGCCAGCAGCCGCGGUGAUACGUAGGGUGCGAGCGUUGUCCGGAUUUAUUGGGCGUAAAGGGCUCGUAGGUGGUUGAUCGCGUCGGAAGUGUAAUCUUGGGGCUUAACCCUGAGCGUGCUUUCGAUACGGGUUGACUUGAGGAAGGUAGGGGAGAAUGGAAUUCCUGGUGGAGCGGUGGAAUGCGCAGAUAUCAGGAGGAACACCAGUGGCGAAGGCGGUUCUCUGGGCCUUUCCUGACGCUGAGGAGCGAAAGCGUGGGGAGCGAACAGGCUUAGAUACCCUGGUAGUCCACGCUGUAAACGGUGGGUACUAGGUGUGGGGUCCAUUCCACGGGUUCCGUGCCGUAGCUAACGCUUUAAGUACCCCGCCUGGGGAGUACGGCCGCAAGGCUAAAACUCAAAGGAAUUGACGGGGCCCCGCACAAGCGGCGGAGCAUGCGGAUUAAUUCGAUGCAACGCGUAGAACCUUACCUGGGUUUGACAUGGAUCGGGAGUGCUCAGAGAUGGGUGUGCCUCUUUUGGGGUCGGUUCACAGGUGGUGCAUGGCUGUCGUCAGCUCGUGUCGUGAGAUGUUGGGUUAAGUCCCGCAACGAGCGCAACCCUUGUUCACUGUUGCCAGCACGUUAUGGUGGGGACUCAGUGGAGACCGCCGGGGUCAACUCGGAGGAAGGUGGGGAUGACGUCAAGUCAUCAUGCCCCUUAUGUCCAGGGCUUCACGCAUGCUACAAUGGCUGGUACAGAGAGUGGCGAGCCUGUGAGGGUGAGCGAAUCUCGGAAAGCCGGUCUCAGUUCGGAUUGGGGUCUGCAACUCGACCUCAUGAAGUCGGAGUCGCUAGUAAUCGCAGAUCAGCAACGCUGCGGUGAAUACGUUCCCGGG
rnacentral:rRNA from 1 species